CAACGAAUACUCUCUGUCUCUUCUCCUCCUCUCUGCUGCUCCCCGACCCAUCACCUUACCAUCAUCUCAGCCGCAGAAGGGAUGGUGGCAAACUAGCAAUCAUCCCGGAUAACCUUAAUUUCAAUCUAACCUCUGAGUGAGUUGCAAGGUCGGUCACUCACAAACUUCUUAUUUAGCAAACACUUUCUGCUCCCAGCCGGGCACUAUGGAGCAGGGUUCCACACACUGGCCUUCAAUCAGAUUCUUUCUUGAUGCCAAUUUUGCCCGCUUCUGUGCAGGAGUAGAUCAUGUAUUGUGAUCGAAAAAGGGUGGAGAAAUUUAAUGGGAUUUGGUGGUUCUUGAAUUUGUGCUUAAUAAUCUAUGGCUCUAUCAUCGAGUCAACAGCAGGUGCCAUCUCAAUGGCAACCCGUCUGCCGCAUUGAGCCUAUAUCAUAUUUUUCCGGGCUGAAGAUCCAUGAAAUUCAUUCCUUAUUGUUUCUUGACACAAUAGCUCGGAUACAAAUUAUUAUCUCUGCAUUUCGAUCAGCUUUCUGCAUUCUUUGUCUUGGUUGCGAGGUUUGACAAAAGGCACUCCGUCAGACACGGGGGCUUUGUUCUUGAUUUGCAAUAACAAGCCACCUUUUGCAUGGUGCCUAUAAAGUGCUACUUAUCACGAUUGGAGGAAUUUAGUUAUUUCCACUGCUUCCUUCAAAUUUAGAGUGGCUAAAUCUUAAGAUCAUCAUAUUAUUCCACUCUGUAUUCUCAGUCGAUACAAUUCACCAUUUCUGAAGUCAUUUUAAUUUUUUUUUCUGCUUUCUAUUGCACCUCAAACAUACUUGUCAAAGUGUGUUUUACUAGGUGUUUACGUUGUUUGGAAUGGGAUUUCCAUGUGAAAUGGAGCUCUCUUUCCCUUGCGCAACUUAUCAUGCUCGUGCUGUUUCCAACUGCUGCAGGGGAGGCAUUUUCCCCAGAUGUCAGUUUUGUGCCAGCUUUUAGGCAUUUAAAAUAUAAGCAAUGAUGAAGAGUAACAUGUAAGAAGAGCCAAUUUUAUGCUUUGGUUCUUCGAUGAAAUGUAUUUGUUACGCUUGGCUUCUGAGCUUUUCUCCCAGUUAUUGUUUGUUCAACUUUGGGGAUUCUUUUACAGUGUCCAGAUACAAUUGCAUGCAAUUAUCUUUUCAAAGGCAUGUUUUAGCUAGCUUUCUUCAUCAUCUCUUCUUCCUGGUUGCUUCCAGGCAUCUGCUCUGCCGUUGGAGCACUCCAAGAAUGUAUUUCGACCAUCACAGCUGUCUAGGCUCAUGACCAUUGACUAAAGAUCAUACCAGGUCCUGGUUGCAGAUUUUGGAGCUUGGUGUCCACCCAGCUGAGCUGUUGAUCCUCUAGAUUUUCCAUCCUGCAUUGCUUUCUUCUCCUCACAAUCUAGGUGUUGCAUAUUUUGAUACAGCUCGUGUGAAGUAGAAAGAAUCUUCAGGAUACAAUUGGCAUUCUGCGAAUGGACGAGCCUAGGGAAGAUGGAUAAAUGAUCGUGGUUUGUGCACGAAAAAUUCAAUGCUUCUUGAGCCAAUCAUUCUAGGUGUUGCAGAGAACAAAAUGUUUCUUCAAGCAGAAUGUCUGCAUUAUUAUAAGUUACGUUACUGGAAUUUGGUUUAUAUGCUCCCUUCCUGUUUAUUCUCGUUUUUACUAAGCACCCUGAAGAAGACAUCUGCCUGAAACGGGAAAUUCAACUGGAUGAAAAUUCUGUUUUGGAAGAAGUUGUAGCCUAGGAAGGGACAAUGUUAAAAAUACAAGGAUGACACUAAUGCAUCCUAUGACGAAGAUAGGUACCUCAUAUGACUUGAGAGGGCUUAGAGAUUAAUACUGCCAUUUACAGAUUCGGCUGGGCGUGGAUUAUGUGUCAUGAUAGAAGGGGAACCUUGAUUUGAGAUAAAACCAGUCGAACCUGAAAGGAAACAAGAGAGAAGAAGAGGUGGAAGGGCGCGCAAGAGAAACUUCUCCCGCUUGUAAGAAAUCCCAAUGCUCCUCGCCUGCACAUUUUUGGUUUCGAGUCAGAGAGCUUUAGAAUUCUUUGGAUGAGGGCACAGAUAGCAGGACAAUUGGGAUACCCUCUUGACAUAUGAAUUAUCGACCCAAAUGAAAUUAGCAGUCCCUUAGUUGCAGGGAAAAUUACAAGCUGGUAGCCCAGUACUGUACUGUCCCUUAGUUGUACUUUCUGCCCUCAUAAAUGAAGUUUGCAACUGAUACGAA